AUGCAUGGGCACAAACCUUCCGGUCGCUUGAAUAUUUUAAGUUCCAGUUAUAUGCAGGGACUCACAGCACAGGGAACCAUUUCCUACGUAGCAAAGGUCCGUUUGAGAACAUGCAUCGUGUGUCAUGGCAUGGCAAACAUAAAUAAUAAUGGAACCACAUGCAUGCAUGCGUGGUUAUUGUUAAACAAGUGUGCUUCUCUAGCAUUCAGUUCCUCACGCACACCCUCCUUCUUGAUUAAAAUACCGCGGGGCUUCUUUUCUUUUGAGAAGGAGUCUUUCUGCAAAAGAAACUUAGAUCCGUAUAUAUGCAAUUGA
rnacentral:rRNA from 1 species